ACCUUCGUCGUGUAACGGUAGCACACUCGGCGCGCAUUCGAGAGGUCCAGGUUCAAAUCCCGGCGAGGGCA
rnacentral:tRNA from 1 species